AUUACCCGCUAAAUCAAAAUAAAAUCAAUCUGUCCCCGCCGCCGCCUUCUUCCACAACUACCAUCACUCGCCGCCGCAACAUCUUCUUUACUUCAUCAAAGAUUCUAACUUUGCAAUCUCGGCAUCUAGAUUUGAUUCAAGUAAGAUUUUCAUGUCAAGCAAGCAUUCAUACCACACAUCAUAGUGCACUCUCCCAUUUCAUAAUCCACGGGCAAACGCUCCCAAAAAAAUCCGAUUUUUUUCUCCACUUUGAUUUCAUUUCAAAUCUCAAUCAUUUUCACCAAACCACUGUAAUUAUUCAUUUUCUUGAUGAGUUUUUAUUUAUGAGCCUUGAUUUGUUGUUUGUCUUGGAUUAUAAUUGAUCUGGGAGCAGUAGCGGAUCCCUGAUUAGAGGCCAGCUAGGGCGAUCAUUAACCUUUGACCAUUGACUGUCGGCAGUCAACGAUUGUAUUAGUAAGGUCUGUUUUACUAAAUUAUUUCUAAGGAGUUUACGAAUUUCUUGCCUAAUCCAAUUUCAUGCUUUACUGCCUAAUAUUAAAUACUUUAGAAAUAGAAUAUUAAAAAUAUCAUUUCCAGGAUAUGCAAUUUUAAAAUCAUACUAAAAUACCAUAGAAAUUCACCUUGUGAAAUCUAGCUAGUCUACUCCUUGUGCCAUUUCUUGACAUGAGAUAAUCCAACUAAUAUUUAUUUCUGCAGUUUAUUUUCUCAUUAAACAAGCAUAAUAUCUUUAGUUAGGGCUCUUGUGGCUUCUGCUCAGGAGAAUUCCCAAGAAUAAAUAAACAUGAUUAUUGGCAUUUUACAUUGAGAACACGAGAUUUAAAGCUCAAUUGCCCUUGAAAUUGCAUUGUAUAAGAAAGUGCAAGUUACUUUAUCAAGUUUCAAAUGUUGAUCUCUCCAGGCUGCCUUGAGGUGGAAAUUCCAUUAUGAAUUAGGCCAAAUAAAAAUGACACACCCUACAAAAUCCAACAAAUUUAAUACACGAAACAAUCCAAAGUCAUUGAGGGUAAUAGUUAUCUUCAACAGUGUAAACAAUAUUUUAUAUUAUUAUAGAUAACAAACCUUAACUUACACUAUAAACAAUUGAUCAAAAGAAUAAUAAGAUAAUUCACAAAUUCCUCAAUUUAUCAUUCAUCACAAAUAUCACAAAUUCACAUAGUAAUUUGCAUGCUAAAUUCAUCUCCAAGCCAUUUGAAACCCCUGAUUUUGUGUUCUUCUCAGCAUCUGCUAAAUGCUUAACUUUUUUCCCUAAUUUUAUGAUAAAUUCAAUUAAAUAAUUUAGUCAAUCUCAAGCCUUGUCAAUUGUUCAAAUUGGACAAAACCCUACAAUCUUUGAUUGUAGCCCUAAACAUAAUUUUCCAACUAUCAUUUUCAAAUUUUCAACAAAAUCUACUUCCCUAAACUUGAAAUGGUGAUAACUCGUUCAUCUCAACUAAAGCAUCCCAUAUAAAAAGUCACAUAGUAAUUUGUAAGAAAUACUUGCUAUCAGUGGUGACGUGUGUUUGUCAGACCUGCAGCUACAAGAGUGGGAGAUAGCGGGAGUCGGGAGGAGAGGUAGAAUAUAGGGUUUGGAAUUGGGCGUUUGGCAUCUAUGGUUGUGAAAUCAGAAAUGUC
rnacentral:lncRNA from 1 species